rnacentral:rRNA from 1 species
GACGAACGCUGGCGGCGUGCUUAACACAUGCAAGUCGAACGGAAAGGCCCUGCUUUUGUGGGGUGCUCGGGUGGCGAACGGGUGAGUAACACGUGAGUAACCUGCCCUUGACUUUGGGAUAACUUCAGGAAACUGGGGCUAAUACCGGAUAGGAGCUCCUGCUGCAUGGUGGGGGUUGGAAAGUUUCGGCGGUUGGGGAUGGACUCGCGGCUUAUCAGCUUGUUGGUGGGGUAGUGGCUUACCAAGGCUUUGACGGGUAGCCGGCCUGAGAGGGUGACCGGCCACAUUGGGACUGAGAUACGGCCCAGACUCCUACGGGAGGCAGCAGUGGGGAAUAUUGCACAAUGGGCGGAAGCCUGAUGCAGCAACGCCGCGUGCGGGAUGACGGCCUUCGGGUUGUAAACCGCUUUCGCCUGUGACGAAGCGUGAGUGACGGUAAUGGGUAAAGAGGCACCGGCUAACUACGUG